rnacentral:rRNA from 1 species
UUAAUUUUAUUAUUAUUAUUUAAUUUUAAAUUUUUAUUUAUAUUAAAUAAUUUUUUUUUUAGUAAAAUUUUGAAAUAAUUAAAUUAAUUAUAGUUAAUUAGUAUUGUAGAAGAAUUAUAUAUUAAAAUUUUUAAGAAUAAUUUAUUUUUAGUACCUUGUGUAUCAGGGUUGAUAUAUUAAAUUUAUUAUAUAAUAAUUUUUCGAAUUAAAGAGAUUUAUUUUUAUAUUUAUUUUAUUGUUAAAUUAAUAUUUUAAAUAUAAUAAUAGUAAUGAAAUGUUAUUCGUUCUUUAUAUAUCUAAUUAUUAAAGAAAUUUAUUUAAUAAUUUUUUUUUAAUAUUAAAAUAAUAUAUAAAUAUUAUUUUAUUAAAAGAAAAUUAUUAUUAUUGGGAUAAGCUAAUAAUAAUAUUUUUAUAUAUUUUUAUUAUUAUACAAUUUUAUAGAAUUAGAAAUUUUUAAUUUAUAAUUUGUAAAAAUUAAUUUGUAAAUAAAUUUUAUUUUUAUUUUAUAUUAAAUUUUAUAUUUAAUAAUUUUUAUAAAUUUUUAAUAAAAAUUUAUAAUUAUUAAAUUAGUAAUUUAUUAUUAAUAAUGUUUUUAUAGUUUUAGAAUUAUUUAAAGGAAUUAGGCAAAUUAAUUUCUGCCUGUUUAUUAAAAACAUGUCUUUUUGAUAAUAAUUUAAGGUUGGGCCUGCUCAAUGAUUUUUUUAAAUAGCUGCGGUAUUUUGACUGUACAAAGGUAGCAUAAUCAUUAGUUUUUUAAUUGUAAACUGGAAUGAAUGGUUUGACAAGAAAUUAACUGUCUCUGAAUAAAAUAUGAAAUUUAUUUUUUAGUUAAAAAGCUUAAAUUUUUUUAAAAGACGAGAAGACCCUAUAGAGUUUUAUAUAUUUGAUUAAUAAUAUUUUAUUAUUAUUAUUUUUAUAUAUUUUAUUGGGGUGAUAGAAAAAUUUGAUAAACUUUUUUUUUAUUUUUAUAUUAAUUUAUAAAUUUUUGAUCCAUUAUUUAUGAUUAAAAGAUUAAAUUACCUUAGGGAUAACAGCGUAAUUUAUUUAUAGAGUUCAUAUCGAAAAAUAAGAUUGCGACCUCGAUGUUGGAUUAAAAUUUAUAUUUGGUGUAGAAGCUGAAAUAUUAAGUCUGUUCGACUUUUAAAAUUUUACAUGAUCUGAGUUUAAACCGGCGUGAGCCAGGUUGGUUUCUAUCUUUAAUAGUUUUUAAUAGUUUAGUACGAAAGGACCAAUUAUUAAAUAUAAUAUUUAAAUUU